rnacentral:rRNA from 1 species
GAUGAACGCUAGCGGCAGGCCUAACACAUGCAAGUCGAGGGGCAGCACAGGUAGCAAUACUGGGUGGCGACCGGCGGAUGGGUGCGUAACGCGUAUGCAACCUACCAUUGAUUGGGGCAUAGCCCGAAGAAAUUCGGAUUAAUACUCCAUAAUAUUCAUCAAAGGCAUCUUUUAUGAAUUAAAGCUUUUGCGAUCAAUGAUGGGCAUGCGUGACAUUAGUUAGUUGGUGAGGUAACGGCUCACCAAAACGAUGAUGUCUAGGGGUUCUGAGAGGAUUAUCCCCCACACUGGUACUGAGACACGGACCAGACUCCUACGGGAGGCAGCAGUGACGGAAUAUUGGUCAAUGGACGCAAGUCUGAACCAGCCAUGCCGCGUGCAGGAUGACGGCCCUAUGGGUUGUAAACUGCUUUUCCACGGGAAGAACCCUCCGACGUGUCGGAGACUGACGGUACCGUGGGAAUAAGCAUCGGCUAACUCCGUGCC